CCACCUUGGGAGCCCCGGGCUACUCUCUCACAGCCCUUGUUGCCCUGUGAUCUGUAGGUCUUGGGGACGCAUAGUUAAGGUGCCAGGACAUCCUGGAAGCUGGGAAAUG
rnacentral:lncRNA from 1 species